rnacentral:lncRNA from 1 species
AUGGUGACACCUAUGCAGGCGACGAGGGGUCUGCGGAUGCUAAUACAGCUAGCACAUGCAAGAAGACACAGAAGACUUAGCUCCAACUGGGAGAGGUCUAAGAUCCUCAAUUUGCAUUGGAAAAACUCCUACAGCAGUUCAGAAGGACGAGAAAAGGCUGAAUUACCACCCUUGAACAAGUCCCUGAACCCCAACUGCUGGGAUGGAGCUUCUCAGUGGCCAGCAGGUGCUACGGAUGACUUCAUGGCCAGUAUGGAGAAGAGGAAUGAUUACAACGACCAAUAACUCUCUCAACUUACAUAUUACAGAAGACAAACAAGUGAGACAUUGGGAGAGGCAGCGGCGGUAGGCUGAAUGACGUCCACCUUCCCGGUCCUGCUUCCUUCCUGAGACUGGAUUUACCUCAACAAGUCCGCAGUCGGCACAAAUGAAACCCAUGCAGGUGGGUCACACCAGCCUCACGCCGGAGGAAGCUCGGCAUGUCCUGGACAACAACCUCAUCAGGAAUUUCCAUCGCCACAACCCUGACCAACCCUCCAAGACUGCCACUUCCGCCAGGGGGGCUUCAACCGUCCAAAACGCGAUAACGACGACGAUGUGGGCUCCUCCUCUGACGUGGAUGAAGCACAGCAAG